rnacentral:lncRNA from 1 species
GUUGUUUCCCAUGAUAACUCCACCUUACCUGACAACCUCAUAUGUCUGAAAUAAAUUUCGAUUGGAACACAUAUGGGGCGAACAUGCUAAAUCAAGAAUCCACUCUUCGUUAGGCUUAGACUCUACGUCAGCUACUAUGGUCAACAUCACAUCACUGCCAUCAGGACAAACCUUGAUAACAUUAGUCUCGUCCAAAUUGAAUAAUUGUCCCCUAUGAAUUGCAGCUAAAUUACCUUUAGCCUUCAACUUAUCACAAUUCUUCUUAAUGUGUCCUCUCAUUCUGCAGUAGAAGCAAUACAAAUUGCUGAAAUUGACUUUUGAUCUGUCCCUCCAUUGAUCACCAUAAGAUACAAGAGCUUUCUCAUCCCUCUAUGUAGCUCUAACCAAAUGCUUCAUAGUCUCCUUUGAGAAUAGAGUAUCGUAAACAUCUUCAAUGGUUAGUAUGUCACGACUGUACAAGCUCAUGUACUGAAACGACGAAUAAGAGACAGGCAGUGAACACAGUAGGAUCAAAGCCAGAUUCUCCUCUUUAUACUUAAUCUCCAAUGUCUUUAAAUCCACAACAGUUUCCUUGAACACAGCAAGGUGGUCUUCCAGUGAUCCUCCUUCCACCAUACAAUGGGAAUACAACUUUUGCUUUAGAGCUAGUUUGCUAGUGAGACUUUUAAUCAUGCACAACUGCUCCAAUUUCAACGACAAAAUAGUCACUGUUUUCUCCUUCAAGACGUUUUGCAAAAUAUUAUUGAAUAAAUGAAGAUGAAUCUGCAAUAAAGCCUUCCUAUCCUUCCGUUGUUUCUCCUCCAUUGUCAUUCAAUUGGCAUCUUGUCAAAACUCAGCAAUACAUCGUCCAAAUUCAACUAUGCCAAAAUAGUCCUCAUCUUUACUUGCCACAGAGAAAACCUUAUAUUACGAGCCAAUAGCAAAAUGUUAUACUUCAUGGCAACCACCUCUGAAAAAACUCAAAUAAUCUACAAAGAACCAAGCUCUGACACCACUUGUUGAGAACAAGCAAGUUGCUAGAAUUGCUUUCAUACCACUUGUUGAUAUUAAAGGGUUGCAAGAAUUGAGAUUUAAUGAAGCAUUAUGAUGUAAUGAAGAUCACAACAAUGAAACAAGGUUAAAAGUAAAGAAAUAAACGAGAUUUAAG